GAGUUUGAUCGUGGCUCAGAUUGAACGCUGGCGGAAUGCUUUACACAUGCAAGUCGAGCGGCAGCGCGGGGCAACCUGGCGGCGAGCGGCGAACGGGUGAGUAAUGCAUCGGAACAUGUCCAUGUCGUGGGGGAUAGCCCGGCGAAAGCCGGAUUAAUACCGCAUACGCCCGAGAGGGGAAAGUGGGGACCGCAAGGCCUCACGCGAUUGGUUGGCCGAUGUCCGAUUAGCUAGUUGGCGGGUAAGAGCCCACCAAGGCGAUGAUCGGUAGCUGGUCUGAGAGGAUGAUCAGCCACACUGGGACUGAGACACGGCCCAGACUCCUACGGGAGGCCAGCAGUGGGGAAUUUUGGACAAUGGGGAAACCCUGAUCCAGCCAUUCCGCGUG
rnacentral:rRNA from 1 species